rnacentral:rRNA from 1 species
GAUGAACGCUGGCGGCGUGCCUAAUACAUGCAAGUCGAGCGAAUGGAUUAAGAGCUUGCUCUUAUGAAGUUAGCGGCGGACGGGUGAGUAACACGUGGGUAACCUGCCCAUAAGACUGGGAUAACUCCGGGAAACCGGGGCUAAUACCGGAUAACAUUUUGAACCGCAUGGUUCGAGAUUGAAAGGCGGCUUCGGCUGUCACUUAUGGAUGGACCCGCGUCGCAUUAGCUAGUUGGUGAGGUAACGGCUCACCAAGGCAACGAUGCGUAGCCGACCUGAGAGGGUGAUCGGCCACACUGGGACUGAGACACGGCCCAGACUCCUACGGGAGGCAGCAGUAGGGAAUCUUCCGCAAUGGACGAAAGUCUCACGGAGCAACGCCGCGUGAGUGAUGAAGGCUUUCGGGUCGUAAAACUCUGUUGUUAGGGAAGAACAAGUGCUAGUUGAAUAAGCUGGCACCUUGACGGUACCUAACCAGAAAGCCACGGCUAACUACGUGCCAGCCGCCGCGGUAA